GCGUUAGUUGCAAACAAAUGAUUAUAUUGUGAAAACUAUCAGGACUAUGGCUUAGCCGUUGACAUGUUUAGUGGCAGCAGGGAUAGCUGAAUGUUUUGAUAUAAGAUUUGUGUAGGUGGGCCUGAAAAUAAGGGAGUGGUGGCAGUUUAGAAAUCAUGUCCUGAUUUUUCAGCUUUUGCCAGCUCCCACUCUAGCUUUGCCAUUCAUUCCUAUGGGACAAAUUGCGCCACAAGAACGACGAUAUUCUGUGAACCAUUCGGCGAAACGUUCCACAAAGUAAUAGCAAUCCGAUCGGGAACAAUCUGCACGUUUUGGUAAAUUUUUGUCUAUGUAGUGUAAAAACUG